rnacentral:rRNA from 1 species
UACGGAGGGUGCAAGCGUUAUCCGGAUUCACUGGGUUUAAAGGGUGCGUAGGAGGGCAGGUAAGUCAGUGGUGAAAUCUCCAAGCUUAACUUGGAAACUGCCGUUGAUACUAUCUGUCUUGAAUAUUGUGGAGGUGAGCGGAAUAUGUCAUGUAGCGGUGAAAUGCUUAGAUAUGACAUAGAACACCAAUUGCGAAGGCAGCUCACUACUCAAUUAUUGACUCUGAGGCACGAAAGCGUGGGGAUCAAACAGG